rnacentral:misc_RNA from 1 species
UCUCCGUAGGUGAACCUGCGGAGGGAUCAUUACUGAGUGAGGGCUUCGGUCCGACCUCCAACCCUUUUUGAACCAAACUUGUUGCUUCAGGGGCGACCCUGCCGUUUCGACGGCGAGCGCCCCCGGAGGCCUUCAAACACUGCAUCUUUGCGUCGGAGUUUAAGUAAAUUAAACAAAACUUUCAACAACGGAUCUCUUGGUUCCAGAAUCGAUGAAGAACGCAGC